UUGAGAAGAGGGAGGGCUACCAUGGUAACUGGGAGGCGCGUCUUGGUCUAGCCUCUCCAGGCCGGCCGCCCACAAUGGUUGGGCCGUUUACAAGUGUACUAACCUUACCCUCACGCAGUGACCCCGACUCCCCCAACGCCAGCCUGCCACCACUUACCAAUUAAGGCACUCUGUAUCCUCUCCAUGAUAUAAACAUCCUACCAUUCUCUGUUUCCACAUACCCCGCGACAGACUCCAAAAACAGUUUCUAAGAAAAGCCUAAAGGACUUUCUGGGUCUCAUCUUCAAAAGAGCCCCACUUCAACCUCCUUUCAAAGUCUGCUCAGGUACUCCAAGGAACUAUUUAUGAAUUGGAAACUGCCCCUAUAGUGCCAUGCAGGAUUUCUGGGAGCACAGUGGAAUUGAGAAUGAAGAGCAGGGUUCUCUCAAUAAACUCUACCCUAAUGGCCUAAGAGUUUUUCCAGCUUGCUUUGGAGAAGUCUAUCAGAGGGACUGUAGAAGCGGAAGUG